rnacentral:lncRNA from 1 species
UUUGGAGAAGCGUGUUCUGUGAACUCUGGGAAGCAGCCACUCAGUAAGCAGGGUAUAGACUGGGCGGGGUUGGGGGGCAGUACAUUUGGGCUCCACACCGGUCUGGAUGUGAGCUGUGAGGUUAUGCCCAGGUCUCGACCUUCUCACCUAAAAGUUGGGUGCUUUCCUCCUCUGAAUCACUGCGAUACAUGGGUUUCCUGCAUUCCCCAAAGAAACUAGUUGCCCUCAAAUCGUUGCUUCAGGGCCUGCCAAUGGGAGGAUGCUCAUAAAAACCCUGCACGCUGUUACUAAUGCAGGUCAAUAUGGCAAGCUGCACUGCUGACGUCUUGAUUGGGCUUCAAGGCCUGGUCUGAGCCAGAGGCAACAUGGCACGUGAGAAACACUACAAGGGUCCUGGGCUCUGCCUCUCUGCUCUGUCCCUCCUUGCUGAGUUAUCUGGGACUUUCUGCUCCAUAUCCUUAGCCAGUUGGAUUCAUGUCGAGGCCCCCUCUUCCAGACGGUUCGCUUGUGUCAGUGAGUUCUGGGGAGGAAGUGUCCAGUGAGCCUUCCCUGGGGCAAGACAAAUCCUUCUGCUCCUAGGUGGCAGCUCUGGGACCCGGCUCGCGGCAAGGCUAUGGGACAACGUGUGCUGAGAUGAGCCUCCAGAGGGUGAGCCAGAGUGAAGGAAGAAAUCCAGCCACCCCGCUGCCCCCCACCUCUGCCUCUGUCCUAACUGGGAAAGGCACAAGGCACACCGGGAUCUCCACCCUGCUGGCCAUCUGGGAGGGAGAAGAAUAAAGCCAGACUUUAGGGCCAGGAGGGCAGAAAAUGCUUCCCUGAAGGCAGGGAAGGGAGGGCAAGGGGAGGAAUGUCCAAACAGGUGCAGAAAGAGAGAUGCACCCAUAAACAAGGGAGCAAACAAAUCAGUCUGUAAUUACAAAUUACAAGGUGGUGUGUGAACAAGAAAGGGGGUCUUUGCAGAGGAAGUUAAAUUGGAGCCCGGGCCCGAAGGAUGAGAAGGAGGCAUCCACACACCUGCUUUUCCACGCACGUUCACUAAGACCCUGGGCCCGGGGUGGGUGUGGGUGGGGGUGGCGGUGGGGGAAACGUCCCAGUUUGCUCCAUGAGCAAACCGCCCGGAUGCUGGGGUGGCAGAGCUGAUGGGUGUUAGAGCCAGAAUUUGUCAUUGGUUUCCUGUUCCUCCUGCUCUCCCUGCAUUUCCUCUAGAAGGUGUGCUGUGGGCAGAUGUGCACACAGGCUCCAUCCAGUCUGAUGGUACCAGGGGGCUCCUUAGCGGCUUCUCAUCACGACUUGUCACACAGCCUCCCUGCCCCUUUGCCAGGGGCCCGGCUUUCUUCCCCACAGCCUGCUCUCCUGUUACUGUCUCCUCUCCCCUCCCAGAGCUGUCUCCUCUCUGGUCCUCAGGAGUCGGAAAGGGAUGGAGAGAGAAGACCAGGUGUGAUAGAACAGGUGGCGAUAAAGGAAGCCUCACCUGGAAUGGCGUGGGGAGCCCUGAAGGGGGCGCUGUCACGCAGGUACCGCUCCUUGAGGCCCACAGGACCAGCUGGUCAAGGAAGAGAAGAAUCAUCUUCCCGAGAGAGGGCCCUCUUCACAUGGGUGUCUUAUCUCCGGCCUUUAAGAAGGGGCAGGAAGGGCUGUCCUGCCCCAGUAACAAAGCAGUAACCACAUCUUGCAGCCAGUGAGAUACCACCACUGCCUCGAACUCCUGUACUUCUCCAGUGAACUUCUGUUCAGAACCAUCCUCCCCAAUCUCUUCCUCAAACCUAAUAAGAGCUGACCUUCCCCUUGUCCCUUCGAACUUGCCUAUGGUUCCCCAUAGUUUGCUUGUCCCAAACUGUAUUUCUUCGGCUAGUCCGGAAUGAACUCCUUUUGCUGGUAUCAUAACUGGCUGUUUUAUUUUUAAGGUUGACAGGUGUCACAGAGAUAAUAAUAACUGUCCCUUUUGGAGAGCCUGCUAGGAGCCCCCUGAAGGGCUUCUUCUCACUGAAUCCUCAAAGAACCUGGACGGGGAGUUAUUGACACCGUGUGUUAGCUUUAUCUCCUGUGUGUGCAAAUUGUAGAAGUGAGGUCGAGUUAAUUUAAACCCCAGAAAACGUGGGGGGUGGUUAUUAUGAAAACAAAGGGGCAUCUCAUGCAGCCCAAGAGCCAGAAUUAGUGAACUUCAGCGAGGUUCUCAAACCACCGCCCGCAAAGCUGAGCGGAUUUUCUCCCUGUUGUACCACCUCUGGUCCUGGUGUGUUUGUGCCUCUCUCCCUUUCCCUCCCUCUCCCCGUCUUUCCCUCUCUGUCUCACCCGCCCUGCACCCCACUAAAAUAAACAUGGCAGCAACGAAGCUGUCCCAAGCUUCCACGUCAUGGAUUCAGUAACUCAACAGACCCUUUUCUCUGUUCCAAUUCAAGCCACCCAGGGAAAGGGACCG